AUGCAGGCCAGCGACAGGUUCAACAUCAAUUCUCAACUUGAGCAUCUCCAGGCCAAAUAUGUCGGAACAGGGCAUGCUGACCUGACCAGAUUUGAAUGGGCUGUAAAUAUCCAAAGAGACAGCUAUGCAUCCUACAUUGGACACUAUCCAAUGCUGGCAUAUUUUUCCAUUGCUGAGAAUGAAUCUAUUGGAAGGGAGCGUUACGAAUUUAUGCAGAAAAUGCUGCUUCCCUGUGGCCUCCCUCCUGAAAGAGACGAAGACUGA
rnacentral:rRNA from 1 species